GCACCCAUAGUUGAAUGGAUACAAUGGCGGGUUCCGAACCCGUUGGUGAAGGUUCGAUUCCUUCUGGGUGCACCA
rnacentral:tRNA from 5 species